rnacentral:rRNA from 1 species
CUUGGUCAUUUAGAGAAGUAAAAGUCGUAACAAGGUUUCCGUAGGUGAACCUGCGGAAGGAUCAUAGUGAAUCUUCAAAGUUGGCUCGUCGGAUUGUGCUGGUGGAGACACAUUGCACGUCUACGAGUCGCAAAUCCACACACCUGUGCAUCUAUGACUCUGGCGCCGCUUUGCAUGGCCUUUUAACUGAGGCCUGGUGCUCGAGUACUUUAUACACUCUUGAAUGUAACGGAAUGUCUUGUUGUGCAUAAUGUACAAAACGAAACAACUUUCAACAACGGAUCUCUUGGCUCUCGCAUCGAUGAAGAAGCAGCGAAAUGCGAUAAGUAAUGUGAAUUGCAGAAUUCAGUGAAUCAUCAAUCUUUGAACGCACCUUGCACCCUUUGGUAUUCCGAAGGGUACACCCGUUGAGUGUCAUUGUAAUCUCACUACCAUUGACUUUGGUCUUUUGGUAUGGGACUUGGAUGUUGCCGUGGUUAAUCAACGGCUCGUCUGAAAUGCUUCAUGUACCCCGCUUUGCGGCGUAUUCGGUGUGAUAAAUCUUCACCGGAGUUAUCCUUUUGGGUCGCGUCUGUAAUUGGUGUGGCUCUAUGCUUCCAACCGCUAUUGGGUUAGACAAUCUCUGACGAUUUGACCUCAAAUCGGGUGGGACACCCGCUGAACUUAAGCAUAUCAAUAAGCGGAGGAA